rnacentral:lncRNA from 1 species
AUGGACAGUGCCUUGUAGACCAGGCUGUUGUGGUGGUGUGGAGGCAGAGAUGGGUGGGGCAGACGGUGGGGAUGAGGCAGGCAGGGGUGCGGGCACGGGUGCUGGGGAAGUGGUCGGAUGGGGCGUGAGAUGACGUGCAGGCUCAAGGCCAGAAGGCAGGGGCAGAGGCUGGCUGCUCACCUGGGGUUGGUUGUGCAGUCCUGGGGGUGGUACUUCUUGACCUGUGGCGGGGCCAGCCCCAAGGUUGUGUUACAGGGCAUGGAUGUUGCACGUCUGCGUACGUGACAUUCUCAUCAUGCUCACCAGGUCCAGCUCGCCAGUGUCCGCGACGACGACGGACAUUGAUUUCAGAGCCUCAAGCUGGUUCUUAAAGGUCUGAGCUGGAACUGUGGAGUAGGGCCCGCGAGGCGGCGGGAGAGGCGCCUUCUUCUCCUCGAGAUAGGCCCGCACGACGGGCGACUUCCGCGACCGUCCCUGCUGUGACUGCACAGUGCGGCUGCAUGAUGUCGGAGCACGCAAAAGGGACAUCGUGCUGGAUUGGCAGAAGCGAAAUGUGCAACGUUUAGGUGUCGGAGCCGGUGUGCAAUCGGUCGCGUUGGCGUCACUACGUGCAGUCGCUGCGUCGCCUCGUGAAGUGUAGCUCCCUCCUAUUUAUACUGUGGGCAGGACCGAAACGAGGCCCG